UACGUAGGGUGCGAGCGUUGUCCGGAAUUAUUGGGCGUAAAGAGCUUGUAGGCGGUUUGUCGCGUCUGCUGUGAAAUCUCAAGGCUCAACCUUGAGCUUGCAGUGGGUACGGGCAGACUAGAGUGUGGUAGGGGAGACUGGAAUUCCUGGUGUAGCGGUGAAAUGCGCAGAUAUCAGGAGGAACACCGGUGGCGAAGGCGGGUCUCUGGGCAGUAACUGACGCUGGAGGAGCGAAAAGCGUGGGGAGCGAACAGGAUUAGAU
rnacentral:rRNA from 1 species